rnacentral:rRNA from 1 species
CCCUUAGAUGUUCUGGGCCGCACGCGCGCUACACUGAUGCAUUCAACAAGCCUAGCCUUGACCGAGAGGUCCGGGUAAUCUUUGAAACUGCAUCGUGAUGGGGCUAGAUUAUUGCAAUUAUUAAUCUUCAACGAGGAAUGCCUAGUAAGCGUGAUUCAUCAAAUCGCGUUGAUUACGUCCCUGCCCUUUGUACACACCGCCCGUCGCUCCUACCGAUUGAACGUUUUAGUGAGGUAUUUGGACUGGGCCUUGGGAGGUUUCGGCCUCCCUUGUUGCUCGGAAAGACUCCCAAACUUGAGCGUUUAGAGGAAGUAAAAGUCGUAACA